rnacentral:rRNA from 1 species
GACAGAGGGUGCAAACGUUGUUCGGAAUUACUGGGCGUAAAGCGCGUGUAGGCGGCUUGGCAAGUCGGGUGUGAAAGCCCUGGGCUCAACCUAGGAAGUGCACUCGAAACUGCCUCGCUGGAGUGCCGGAGAGGAAAGCGGAAUUCUCGGUGUAGAGGUGAAAUUCGUAGAUAUUGGGAAGAACACCGGUGGCGAAGGCGGCUAUCUGGACCGACAUUGACGCUGAGGCGCGAAAGCGUGGGGAGCAAACAGG